rnacentral:lncRNA from 1 species
GAAAUCUUAACUUUUUAGUUUUAAGUAUAUGCAUCAGAACUUGAAAUGAAUCUGAAUCAUACCACGUCUUCUUUUUUAUACUUUUUGAGGCAUUUUAUUAGAUAUGAUUUUAUGUAAAAUACUAGAUAUGCUCUGCCAGGCUCAGUGUUAUAUGACAGCAGAGGUUAAACCCUGAAAAGUUGGGGCAAGUAUAAACACCUUGUUUACGUUUGAAACAGCUCUGAAUUUUGAUUGAUAAAAAUAUUCGACACAGCAUAAAUUUGGAUUCUGACACAGAAGGAAUGUGGUAAAAAAAACUAGAGAAUUUGAAAUUGGACUUUUACUUACUAUGAUCCAAAAUCUGAAUAAAUGGUUAGAUUAGGCCAUAACAAAGGGGACUUACCACCCAAGUACACCAAGAAUUACAUUUAUCUAUUAAUUAAUGGACAAAAUAUGCUAAAGACCUAAUAAACUAGCUGUUAUCACAGAGAUAUGUCUCGCUUUUUGUAAUUUCUAUAAUGCAAAUGUUGAAAUUAAAAUAGCAACACUAUAACAUGCAAGUUUUGCAAAAAAUCAAAUUCAAUGAACCAUGACUGAAGGUACAUGUACAUGACUUAACAAUCUCCAUGGAAAUGAGAUGUGUCAAUGCUUAUCCAACUGCAUCCCAAAUACCAUUGACUUAUCAUAACUAGUUCCCUUUAAAAAACAUAAACACUUCUAAGUCAAUAAACCAUAACUGAGGGUCGGGGUAAAAUAAUCUCCAUGGAAAUGAGAUAUGCCAAUGUUAAUACAACUGAAUACCAAAUAUCAUUGACCUAGCUACCACUAGUAGUUCUCCAUAAACCAAUCUUACCACAAACUUAUCAUAAAAAACUUAAGUAAAAGUUUCAAAGUCAAUGGACCAUGACUGAGAGGGCGGGGCAAAUAAUUUUCAUGGAAAUGAGGUAUGCCAAUGCUUAUACAACUGCAUACCAAUUAUCAUUAACUUACCACUAGUGGUUCCUCAUAUUCAUAAACUGACAUAAUCACAAACUAAUACAUGAAAACUAAGCUUACCACUAGUGGUUCACCAUAAACUAGACCUAAUCACAAACUAGUACAUUAUUGAAGGCGCUGCCGUCGCCAGAAACAGCAUACCUAUGUCUCGCUUUUUGACUCUGUCAAGCGAGAUAAAAAUAAAAAAUCUGAAGGCAUGUUUUUAGAUUCAUAAUAUCAAAGAACCCCGGGAAUUCUAUUAUUUUUAAAAAUCAAACUAAGUUUAAUAACUAUAAGUACUUAUAAUAAGACUAUAAGUACCUUGAUGUAAACCAAAUUGAAAACCAAUACCAAAAUAAAAAAUCUAAAAAAUGGUUAGAUUCAGCAUGAACCCAAAGAAUUCUGGCUUUUUAAAACAAGCUGAAAUGUCUCGCCUUCUUUACUAAUCAUUGAUAUUAUGUUGAUAGUCUUAAGUAUAAAGCUUUAUAACAACUGUCACAUAACUUAACAUUAACCAAGAUAACAAAGACCAAUGAACCAUGAAAAUGAGGUCAAGGUCAGAUGAAACAUGCCAGACAGACAUGUACAGCUAACAAUGCUUUCAUACAACAAAUAUAGUUGAC